rnacentral:lncRNA from 1 species
GACGGAGCUCGCGGACCGCUCCGCCUUCUCAAAACCGGAAUCAUUCUCUGAAGCCACGCUCCGCGUGCGCAAGAACUUCUCCUACUUCCGCGUCAACUACUACGCCGUCGUUUCGUUGAUCCUUGCGAUCUCGCUCCUCACCAAUCCCUUCUCCCUUGUCCUCCUCGCCGGCCUCCUCGUCUCCUGGACCUUCCUCUACCUCUUCCGCCCCUCCGACCAGCCUCUCGUCAUCCUUGGCCGAACCUUCUCCGAUUUCGAAACCCUAGCUAUCCUCUCCGCGCUCACCGUCUUCGUCGUCUUCCUCACUAGCGUCGGCUCCGUCCUCAUUUCCGCUCUCAUGCUCGGCGUCGCCGCCGUUUGCCUUCACGGUGCAUUCCGCGUGCCUGAGGAUC